GGAUCAGCUGAAACAACCCAAACAAGUUUACAGAAUCGGAAUUUUCAAAAAGAAGGGCUCGAUUGUUCAAAUAGAUCUGCUGAUUUCUUAAAUGAAUCUGAUAUUCAAGGGAAGUUCCCACUCAUGGGAGGCAAUUUGUUGACGUCAUCCUGUUUGAAUUUAAAAAGCAAGAGUGUAAUAGGAUCUGUAGCUAAUGGCCACCUUUCAUCAGCUUUAGAUCCAACAAACAGGAAUGCGUCACUAGUGCAGCUGGGAACUGGUUACAUGAACUAUUACAGUUUUGGUUAUAUAGCUUCAUCAAUUGCAGAAGAAUUGAUGCGUAAGUCAGCAGACAAAACCAUGGAGAACUCUAU
rnacentral:misc_RNA from 1 species